UAUGGCCACACCACCCUGAAUGUGCCCGAUCUCAUCUGAUCUUGGAAUCUACGCAGGUUAGUACUUGGAUGGGAGAACAGUUGUGACAGCCGAUAGGGUUCUGUUCCCAACUGUGGCAAUGG
rnacentral:rRNA from 1 species